CCACAAAAGGCUCCAAAGCUACCGAGAAACCCUGUCUCGAAAAACAAAAGCAAACAAACAAAAGAGCUAAGGUGGUACCGAGUUUUGACAUUCCCUGAUAUGACCUGCUUCACUCUCAGAAACAGUGAAUUCCUACAGGUUCUGGCUGGUCCAACUGCACUGGGAGGCAACCACACCCAUGAUUCACACAUCUGUCACCAUCGAUAGGACAUGUGAAGAUUUUUACCCAUUUUAGACAAGUAUCUGGGACUGUGGAAUUGAGAUACACCUCUAGACUUAUGGGACUAUCCUGGCAGGGCGUCGAUGGAGAAGAAUCAGGAGACCUUGAAGUUCAGAUCUGAUGAUUAUGUCAUGCAACCCCACAAGCCCCUUAAUGCUCACACCAAGGGUGCAGGUGUCAAAACAUCCUCCAUAUAAAUGACUUCAUGUGAUUCCGCACAAAGCCCUGUGUGGAGCAGUUGCUUCUGUUUGAGAGUAGGAAUGAUGCUGAGGCCUGGGAAAAUGUUGACCCACGCACAUGGAGAGAGCAUGUCUUUGGGAUUUUAAUUCGACAUGCUUUCUGCACCACACAGGGGUGUUUUCUUUUUUAAAAAAAAUAAAGAAUAUUUUACAAAUA